rnacentral:snRNA from 1 species
AUCGCUUCUCGGCCUUUUGGCUAAGAUCAAGUGUACUAUCAAGUGUAGUCUGUCCUACAUAGUCCCAGGGACAAUCCAGGUUACUUACUUGUCUUCUUGUAUCAUUUAACGGCAACUCUCUUUAAUUAAUUAUUUUUUGUCCUGAUUCUUGACUUCGUGCUUGGGGGUUGUCAUGCAUUUGUGAAAUGUAC